rnacentral:rRNA from 1 species
UACGUAGGGCGCAAGCGUUGUCCGGAAUUAUUGGGCGUAAAGAGCUCGUAGGCGGCUUGUCACGUCGGAUGUGAAAGCCCGGGGCUUAACUCCGGGUCUGCAUUCGAUACGGGCUAGCUAGAGUGUGGUAGGGGAGAUCGGAAUUCCUGGUGUAGCGGUGAAAUGCGCAGAUAUCAGGAGGAACACCGGUGGCGAAGGCGGAUCUCUGGGCCAUUACUGACGCUGAGGAGCGAAAGCGUGGGGAGUGAACAGG